rnacentral:rRNA from 1 species
GGUUUAAUUCGAUGCAACGCGCAGAACCUUACCUGGUCUUGACAUCCUCGGAAUCCUGCAGAAAUGCGGGAGUGCCUUCGGGAACCGAGAGACAGGUGCUGCAUGGCUGUCGUCAGCUCGUGUCGUGAGAUGUUGGGUUAAGUCCCGCAACGAGCGCAACCCUUGCCCUUAGUUGCCAGCAUUUCGGAUGGGAACUCUAAGGGGACCGCCGGUGACAAACCGGA